GCAGUCAUGGCUGCUGACGGCGUGGACGAGCGCUCGCCGCUGCUGUCCGCGUCCCACUCGGGGAGUGUCACUCCCACGGCGCCCCCGUACCUCCAGGACAGCAGCCCCCGAGGUGGAAUCAAGAAAGACUUGAUGGCAGUGGGAUCUGAAGAAAAUGAGGGGGAAUCUAUUUAGCAAACUAUUCAAUUAUUCCAGUAACUAUCCUUGUUCUAAGCCUAUAGUAGAAAUAAGGCGGAGUCAGGAGUUAAAAGAUAACUGGAAAGCAGAGUCAGGGGUUAUAGGAAAUGGAAAGCUAGACUGAAACAACACUUAGACUAGUGAAAAGAUUGGUAAAAUAUGGCUCUUGCAAAUGUAGGUUGUGUAUCUCUCUUUUUUGGAUAAAUGUGAGAGGUUUAAGGAGGCACACAUUAACGCUUCUGAAAAUGUGAGUGGAUCAUGUUUCUUGCAACACAACUUUUUCUAAGUUCAAGUCUGGAAUUGGAGCAGCUGUAGAGAAGGUUGAACCUGUCGAGUAUUUAAAAUUCUGUUUGGCACUUUAUAACUUUAGGCACAGCAAUCUAGUUCUUAAUCCACACCUAACAAGAAGCAGGACAAAGGAAAAAGAGGUUUAGUUGUGAAUAAUCCAGUGUAAUUGAUGAGUUGAGAAAUAAGGUGCUAAUGGUACAGAUACUCACAUAUUGAAAACCCGCAAGUCAUGUUUGUUGGCCAGCAUUAAGGAUGUGUUAGAGGACCACUUAGGGGAAUUUCCUUUAAUGGGCAAAUUUGAUGUUAAUAUAUUUACUAUUAUCUAAAGUUUAUAGUCUCCAUUAGGUUUAAACACUUAUUAAUGACUGUUUCAACUUCACCUGUUUCAAGUCACCUUUUUAAGACAAAAUAUUUGACAGUUUAUUGAGAGACAGAGUUUAGAUUUAAGAAACUGUUUUAUACCAGAUUUUCAUGCCCUCUAUCUGGUAUCUUUUUUUUAUUUUUAGUCAAAUAAUAGCUAAAUUAUCCCACAAAAAUGGUCAUACUCAUGGAUCUGCUUGUAGACUUCUUUAUCAUUUGCCAUGCAGUUGUUUAAUCUGAUAAGACUUCUGAAAUCUCACAAUAAGGUAAAAGUUCCAGCUCAGUCACUAAGAAAAUGAAGUUUUAUUCCAGAAAACUUGUAACAACCAAAGAAAUUCAAUGUGUUAUAAAACAAAAUUCAACUGAGUAGAUUUUUAAAGUCUUAUUGGCUUCAUUUAUUGAUUCAUGAAUCAGGCAGCCUCCCAUCUAGCAUAUAGAAAGGAACUCCAAGAAGCUAUCAGUACAAAGUUUAAAGACUGAUAUAGGCAAAAGGCAGUGGGAUAGGGAAAUUACACUAGCAAAAAGUGGAUUGAUUGUGGCAAGGUCUUUUCUUUAGAGGAUGGCAGGUCUCUAUCAGGCAGGUUGUCUCACUAGUGCUGAUCAGGAGAAUCCUGAUUGAUUAGGUUAACAUUCCAUUUCUGGGAGAAGCAUGAAAGGUGAAAGUGAAGUUACUCAGCCAUGUCCAACUCUUUUUGAUCCCAUGGACUAUAACCUACCAGGCUCCUCCGAUCAUGGGAUUUUCCAGCGGAACUCCCGCCUCCGUAUACAGCCAUUGUCAGCCCAGAUGCCAGCGGAAUUCCAGUCAUAAACUGCCGUGUGUGCCAGUCUCUCAUCAAUUUGGAUGGCAAGCUUCACCAGCAUGUGGUUAAGUGCACAGUUUGCAAUGAAGCUACGCCAAUCAAAAAUCCCCCAACAGGGAAGAAAUACGUUAGAUGCCCUUGUAAUUGUCUCCUCAUUUGUAAGGACACAUCACGGCGAAUAGGAUGUCCAAGACCCAACUGUAGACGCAUAAUUAACCUUGGCCCAGUAAUGCUUAUUUCUGAAGAGCAGCCUGCUCAACCUGCAUUGCCAGUCCAACCAGAAGGAACAAGGGUCGUGUGUGGGCACUGUGGAAACACGUUCCUGUGGAUGGAAUUGAGGUUCAACACUCUGGCAAAAUGCCCACACUGCAAAAAAAUUUCUUCAGUGGGUAGUGCACUUCCUCGAAGGCGCUGCUGUGUAUAUAUUACCAUUGGAAUGAUAUGUAUUUUCAUUGGGAUUGGAUUAACUGUUGGCACCCAAGAUUUUGCAAGACGAUUUCAUGCAACCUAUGUUUCUUGGGCAAUUGCUUAUCUCUUAGGUUUGGUCUGCCUUAUCCGAGCUUGUUAUUGGGGAGCCAUAAGAGUGAGUUAUCCAGAACACAGUUUUGCAUAAGCUUAUUUAUGACCUUGUGAUGCGGUUGAGGGUAUCUAACAGUUCUUGAUAAGCUACUCUGGACAUCUUAAAUCAUUUACCUAAUGGAUUUCAUUUUCAUUUAUGUAUGAAGUUUUAAGACUGGGAGCCUUAUAUGAACAAACGUUUAUUGUACUACAUUAUAGGCAAAUAGUUUCUUUUGCUGCUAAGUUUUCAAGCUCCAAAUAAUAAAGCUUGGUCUUCAUGUUCUUUUACAUCUCUUAAAGGUAUUUUUGAUUUGUUCCCAAUCAUACCUAACACCACACUUUCAUUAUUUUUAAAUCAAUUAUUCUAUUACUUGCUGGUCUGUGAGUAUUCUCAAGGAGUGUUUAUAAAUAUUGCUGUAAUAGCUUCACAUUUAUACUCACUUUUUAAUUGAGCUAUCACAAUUGCUUGCUUUAAAUCUAAGCAAUAUGCAUUUUGCUUGAACUGCUUAUAGUAACUUUAACCUAAGGUCAUAGUGACAUUGUUCAGGAAAAAAAAAUAUGUUUAGUGUACCUUCAAAGACUUGACAUUCUUGUCAGAUAAAGACCAUUUCUAGAUACUGUAUGCUUGUUUUAUGUUGUUUGUAGAAAUAAAUAAUAUUUUGGUAGUAAUUUAAAAUAUGAGAAUAAAAAUAUUUAUUUGUCCACCGUUGGAGAUAUGUUGGAUAAAUGUUCUCAAAGAUC